GAUGAAGAACGUAGUGAAAUGCGAUAAGUAAUGUGAAUUGCAGAAUUCCGUGAAUCAUCGAAUCUUUGAACGCACAUUGCGCCCUCUGGUAUUCCGGGGGGCAUGCCUGUCCGAGCGUCAUUUGCAACCCUCAAGCCCGGCUUGUGUGAUGGGUGCCGUCCCCUACGGGACGCGCCCCGAAGGCAAUGGCGGCGUCGCGGUUAUCCGAUCAGCCAAAGUGUAUGGGGCUUUGUCACUCACUUUACGGCCCGGACCGGCGCCAGUCCGAAUCAAUCUUUUUUCUAAAGUUGACCUCGGAUCAGGUAGGGAUACCCGCUGAACUUAAGCAUAUCAUAAGCGGAGGA
rnacentral:misc_RNA from 1 species